UACGUAGGUGGCAAGCGUUGUCCGGAUUUAUUGGGUUUAAAGGGUGCGUAGGCGGCCCUGUAAGUCAGUGCUGAAAUAUCCCGGCUUAACCGGGAGGGUGGCAUUGAUACUGCGGGGCUAGAGUACAGAUGAGGUAGGCGGAAUUGACGGUGUAGCGGUGAAAUGCUUAGAUAUCGUCAAGAACGCCUAUAGCGAAGGCAGCUUACUAGGCUGUAACUGACGCUGAGGCACGAAAGCUAGGGGAGCGAAAGGG
rnacentral:rRNA from 1 species